rnacentral:rRNA from 1 species
UACAGAGGGGGCAAGCGUUGUUCGGAAUUACUGGGCGUAAAGGGCGCGUAGGCGGCCUGCUAAGUCGAACGUGAAAUCCCCGGGCUCAACCCGGGAACUGCGUCCGAUACUGGCAGGCUUGAAUCCGGGAGAGGGAUGUGGAAUUCCAGGUGUAGCGGUGAAAUGCGUAGAUAUCUGGAGGAACACCGGUGGCGAAGGCGGGUCUCUGGGCCGAAAUUGACGCUGAGGAGCGAAAGCGUGGGUAGCAAACAGG